rfam:Gossypium hirsutum cultivar TM-1 chromosome 12, whole genome shotgun sequence
AACCCAUGGCGAGGGCACAUUCUUAAUAGAUCUUUGUAUCUCUCCCAUGCAUCAUAGAGGGCUUCUAAAUUCAUUUUCACAAAAGAAGAAAUAUCAUUCCUUAAUUU